CCUACGGGAGGCAGCAGUGAGGAAUAUUGGUCAAUGGGCGGAAGCCUGAACCAGCCAAGUAGCGUGCGGGAUGAAGGCUCUAUGGGUCGUAAACCGCUUUUGCACGGGGAUAACACCCUCCACGUGUGGAGGUCUGCAGGUACCGUGCGAAUAAGGGCCGGCUAAUUCCGUGCCAGCAGCCGCGGUAAUACGGAAGGCCCGAGCGUUAUCCGGAUUCAUUGGGCUUAAAGGGAGCGUAGGCGGGCGUUCAAGUCAGCUGUAAAAUCGUGGGGCUCAACCGCGCCCCGCAGUUGAAACUGGGCGCCUUGAGUACACAACAGGCAGGCGGAAUGCGUGGUGUAGCGGUGAAAUGCAUAGAUAUCACGAAGAACCCCGAUUGCGAAGGCAGCCUGCCAGGGUGCGACUGACGCUGAAGCACGAAAGCGUGGGUAUCGAACAGGAUUAGAUACCCGAGUAGUC
rnacentral:rRNA from 1 species